rnacentral:misc_RNA from 1 species
AAUUCUCAACCCCUCUCGAUUUGUUUCGAGAGGGAGCUUGGAUAGUGGGGGCUGCUGGAGACCUAGGAAUUUUCGUCCUUGACUCGGGCUCUCCUUAAAUGCAUCGGCUUGCGGUCGACUUUCGACUUUGCGCGACAAGGCUUUCGGCGUGAUAAUGAUCGCCGUUCGCUGAAGCGCAUGAAUGAAGGUUCCGUGCCUCUAAUCCGUCGACUUUACUAUCUCUUCGGAGAGAAAACGUCUUCCUCAUUGAC